rnacentral:rRNA from 1 species
ACUGCAGUCGAGCGGACCGACGGGAGCUUGCUCCCUUAGGUCAGCGGCGGACGGGUGAGUAACACGUGGGUAACCUGCCUGUAAGACUGGGAUAACUCCGGGAAACCGGGGCUAAUACCGGAUGCUUGAUUGAACCGCAUGGUUCAAUCAUAAAAGGUGGCUUUUAGCUACCACUUACAGAUGGACCCGCGGCGCAUUAGCUAGUUGGUGAGGUAACGGCUCACCAAGGCGACGAUGCGUAGCCGACCUGAGAGGGUGAUCGGCCACACUGGGACUGAGACACGGCCCAGACUCCUACGGGAGGCAGCAGUAGGGAAUCUUCCGCAAUGGACGAAAGUCUGACGGAGCAACGCCGCGUGAGUGAUGAAGGUUUUCGGAUCGUAAAACUCUGUUGUUAGGGAAGAACAAGUACCGUUCGAAUAGGGCGGCACCUUGACGGUACCUAACCAGAAAGCCACGGCUAACUACGUGCCAGCAGCCGCGGUAAUACGUAGGUGGCAAGCGUUGUCCGGAAUUAUUGGGCGUAAAGCGCGCGCAGGCGGUUUCUUAAGUCUGAUGUGAAAGCCCCCGGCUCAACCGGGGAGGGUCAUUGGAAACUGGGGAACUUGAGUGCAGAAGAGGAGAGUGGAAUUCCACGUGUAGCGGUGAAAUGCGUAGAGAUGUGGAGGAACACCAGUGGCGAAGGCGACUCUCUGGUCUGUAACUGACGCUGAGGCGCGAAAGCGUGGGGAGCGAACAGGAUUAGAUACCCUGGUAGUCCACGCCGUAAACGAUGAGUGCUAAGUGUUAGAGGGUUUCCGCCCUUUAGUGCUGCAGCAAACGCAUUAAGCACUCCGCCUGGGGAGUACGGUCGCAAGACUGAAACUCAAAGGAAUUGACGGGGGCCCGCACAAGCGGUGGAGCAUGUGGUUUAAUUCGAAGCAACGCGAAGAACCUUACCAGGUCUUGACAUCCUCUGACAACCCUAGAGAUAGGGCUUCCCCUUCGGGGGCAGAGUGACAGGUGGUGCAUGGUUGUCGUCAGCUCGUGUCCUGAAAUGUUGGGUUAAGUCCCGCAACGAACGCAACCCUUGAUCUUAGUUGCCAGCAUUCAGUUGGGCACUCUAAGGGGACUGCCGGUGACAAACCGGAGGA